UCUAAGUCUCGACCCAGCUAUUUUGGAGGAAAAAUACAUGAACCUGCAGCGGGAUAUUUUGGGAUGCAAGUAGGCAACUUGCACAACUUGUCCACUUGUCCCACUUGCAAGCUAUUAUCAAAGAUAAAAGCUAAGAGCGAGUUGGCGAAGAUAUUAUCAAAGGUGCAAGCUAAGCACGAGUUGGCAAGAAUAAUAUCUACUAUGCAAGCUAAGAUCGAGUUGGAGACAACUUGCAAGGAAAGUUGUAAACUUAUCCACUUGACGACAACUAAGCAUGAGUUGUAAACAACUAGCACGAGUUGUGAACAACUAAGCGUAGGUUGUAAAGUAAGGCAACUUGAUCUUAAGGAGGUUUAAAUUUUACCUAUAAAUAGAGAUGAGAGUCUCAUUUGUAAAUCAUGUAGAGUUGAGUGAGUUUACUCAUUAGAGAGAUUGUAAAGUUUUCCCUUUCAUUAAUAUAAAGAAAGUUUCCCGACCUUACUUGUUUUUCAUAUAUCCCUUACUUCUAAAUUCUCUUCUCAACGUGGGUAUAAUUUAGCCUCCUUGGUUAAAUUACUUGUGAGCGUGGAAAGGCUGACUUAACGUUUUCUCGUAAGGUGCGAGAAUUGUCAAGCGUUAAGGCCGCACGGUUCUAGUUGUUCGGGUGUAACGAAACUAGGUCCGUGACAAGUGGUAUCAUAGCCUCGUUUGUAGGCUGUUAUAAUGGCGAAAUCUCAAGAAACUGUUGAUAUUGAGAUUGAAGAGAGGGGUCGAGGUGCUACCCAAACUGAAGUAAGAAAAACUCGAGGUAAAAGUAAGGUAAGGGAGGCCAUCAACAUGGAAGGUAAACUUGACCAAAUCAUCUCAAAUAUGGGUGAUCGGAUCGAAUCUCUUGAAAGCUCCUUCGAGGCGUUGGAGGGACACGCCAUUGGAAAAUUGGAAACUCUACAAAUCAAUGUCCAAGAGGUGAUGGACACACAAGCAUCAUUGGAAAAUGAUGUCCAAACGAUGAAAGAUGAUGUUCGAGCUAUAGUAGCCGGACAAGCCGCGGUGAUGGAUGAUUUUGGUCGUCUCCAAACCAAAGUCUUUGACGUCGUUACCGCUAUGCAGGGCCAAGUUAACCAAUUGGCUGUAAUGAUGGAAAGAAUGAGCAAAGAGCUUGAACAAUACAAGCACUCCACUGUCGGUACAAGCGGAGGUGCCGCUUCAACUAUUGUUGCCCCGAGGAUUGAAUACCCGAAGCCUAAACAUUAUGAUGGGCGACGGGAUGCCAAAGAUGUGGAAAACUUCCUAUGGCAAUAGGAAGUUUACUUUGAAGGCGUAAAUCUUGUUGAUGAAGCCAUGAAAGUUCGGACCGCUUCUAUGUAUCUUACCGACACCGCAUCUCUUUGGUGGUGUCAUAAGCAUGCUGAUAUUGAACAUGGAGCUAGCAGAAUUGAUACUUGGACGAGUUCAAAAAGGAGCUAAAAAGACAAUUUUACUCGGAGAACGUUGUGUAUGAGGCCCGCAAGAAACUUAGGGAAUUGAAACAAAAAGGGACCAUCCGUGACUAUGUCAAAGAGUUCACGACCCUUAUGCUUCAAAUCCCUAGCAGGCCGGAGGAUGUCUUGCUAUUCUAUUUCAUGGAUGGAUGCACAACAUGGGUGCGACAAGAAUUACAACGUCGCGGAGUUAAAAAUAUAGAUGAGGCAAUUGCGGUUGCCGAAUCUUUAACGGAGUUCCAAAGGAGUACGGAGUCGCAAGCAAGACUUUCAAACCAACAAAAGGGAAUUUUGGCAGAGGCGGAGGUGAUAUGCGAAAAGAUAAGCAACAGAGUAAGCCGAAUUGGAGGCCAAAUCCCAAAGUUGAUUACAAACCCGGCGAUAACAAACCGACUACUUGGCGGAAGGAGUAUGAUGAUAAAAAGAGGGGUAAUUUUGCUCCUCGUAGUUGCUUCAUUUGCAAAGGGCCACAUCUUAUGCGGGAUUGCCCUAAACUUGGAUCCUUAGCAUCUAUUACGGAGACUCAACCGGAGGCUUCCCAUGGUGAGGAGAAGGGUGCAAGUCAUAUGGGUUCAUUGCAACUUUUCAAUGCUUUGAAUGCCAAAACCGUUCCGGGGGUGAACAGAGAAAAAGGACUGAUGUUCGUACUUGUCAAAAUCAAUGGAUGACAAACACGGGCAUUAGUUGAUACUGAAGCCACACACAAUUUCAUCACGGAGGAUGAAGCCCGGAGGCUUGGAUUGAACAUUCACCAUAGAGGUGGAUUGAUGAAGACGGUAAAUGCAAUCACAAGGCCAUUAGCGGGCGUAGUUCGAGGAGCGAAACUACGGUUGGGUUCGUGGCAUGGACCCGUUGAUAUCUCUGUGGCCCCGAUGGAUGAUUUCAAGCUAGUAUUGGGCUUGGAUUUCUUAAGGAAGGUUAAUACCAUUCCUAUGCCUUCCUUUGGUUCGAUGUGUAUCUUGGAGAAGGGAUCAUCAUGCAUGGUUCCUACUGUUUCCAUGGGAACGGAAACACGACAACUUUCGGCUAUGCAAUUAGCGAAAGGAUGGAAGAAAGGUGAGCCGACAUUCAUUGCUCAAUUGUCGGUUACAACCAAAGUCACCACAAAUAAUGAUGACGUACCAAAUGUUAUUGCGAAGGUCCUUGAGGAAAAUAAGGACGUGAUGCCCAAAGAAUUGCCAAAGAAACUUCCGCCUAGAAGGGAAGUAGACCAUCGCAUUGAGUUGGAGCUCGGUGCCAAACCCCCGGUCAUGGCACCUUAUCGCAUGGCACCUUCGGAGUUAGAGGAACUUCGAAAACAACUUAUGGAGCUGGUGGAGAUGGGAAGGAUUAGACCAUCCAAAGCUCCCUAUGGCGCCCCGGUGUUAUUCCAAAAGAAGCCGGAUGGGACUCUAAGGAUGUGCGUUGAUUACCGGGCACUAAACAAGGUGACGGUGAAAAACGAAUAUCCUAUUCCAUUGAGUGCAGACUUAUUUAAUCGGCUUGGUAGUACUAAAUUCUACACCAAGGUUGAUUUGCAAAAAGGCUACUAUCAAGUUCGGAUUGCGGAAGGAGAUGAGCCUAAAACUACUUGCAUUACUCGGUAUGGUUCCUAUGAAUGGCUUGUCAUGCCGUUCGGUGUGACAAAUGCCCCGGCCACCUUUUGCACCUUGAUGAACAAGAUAUUUUAUCCAUACUUGGAUAAGUUCGUGGUGGUUUAUCUCGAUGAUAUUUUCAUCUAUAGCAACACGUUGGAGGAACAUGUUGAGCACUUGAAAAUAAUCUUCCAAGUGUUGCGGGAAAAUGAAUUAUACAUCAAGAAGGAGAAAUGUUCAUUUGCCAUAGAAGAGGUGCAUUUCUUGGGACAUAUCAUCGGGCAUGGUCACUUGAAAAUGGAUGGAGCCAAAGUAAAAGCAAUUAAUGAGUGGGAGCUACCUACUAAGGUGACGGAAUUGCGGUCUUUCCUUGGAUUGGUGAAUUACUAUCGGCGUUUCAUUAAAGGAUACUCCUCUAGAGCAGCCCCAUUGACGGACUUGCUCAAAAAGUCUCAAGGAUGGGAUUGGACCGUGAAAUGUCAAAGAGCCUUUAAUGAUUUAAAGGCGGCGGUCAUGUCGGAGCCGGUGUUGGCCUUACCGGAUUUCAACAAAAAUUUUGAAGUUCAAAGUGAUUUAUCGGAUUUUUCUAUUGGAGGUGUGCUCAUGCAAGAAGGACAUCCUAUUGCCUUCAAGAGCCGCAAGUUGAAUGACACGGAACGGCGUUAUACGGUGCAAGAAAAAGAAAUGAAGGCCAUUGUGCAUUGCCUACGGGUAUGGCGUCAUUAUCUUUUGGGUUCCCGUUUUGUGAUCAAGACGGACGACGUGGCUACAAGUUACUUCCAAUCACAAAAGAAGUUGAGCCCGAAGCAAGCUAGAUGGCAAGAUUUCUUAGCGGAGUUUGAUUAUGUGAUGGAAUACAAACCUGGAAAGGUGAAUGUAGUGGCGGAUACACUUAGCCGGAAGGCGGAACUCGCGGCAAUUAGUUAAGCCACGGGGACCUUGUUAGAGGAAAUUAAACAAGGAUUGGAGCAUGACCCCAUAGCGAAAACAUUGAUGCAAGCCACUCGAGAAGGAAAAACAAGACGAUUUUGGAUUGACAACGGGUUACUAUACACCACUGGGCAACGGGUAGUUGUGCCUAAGUGGAGAAAUUUGCGGCGUGACGUGAUUCGAGAAUGUCACGACACCAAGUGGGCUGGACAUCCCGGGAUAGAUCGGACAUUAGCUUUGAUUGAACGAGCAUAUUAUUGGCCGCAAAUGAGGGAUCAAGUUGAGACAUAUGUUCGGACAUGUCUUGUGUGCCAACAAGACAAAGUGGAGAAUAAAUUACUGGCAGGACUUCUUGAUCCUCUUCCUAUUCUGGAUCAACCAUGGGACGUGGUCACCAUGGAUUUCAUUAGUGCCUUGCCAAAGUCCGAGGGGUUCGGAUCAAUAAUUGUUGUUGUUGAUCGGUUUUCCAAGUAUGCUACUUUCAUUCCAGCCCCUAAGGAUUGCACUGCGGAGGAGACGGCAAGGUUAUUUUUCAAAAAUGUUGUGAAGUAUUGGGGGUUACCGAAGCAUAUUGUAAGUGAUCGAGAUCCCCACUUCACGGGGAAAUUGUGGACGGAGUUGUUUAAACUCCUUGGAUCGGAUUUGCACUUUUCAAGUAGUUUUCACCCGCAGACGGAUGGACAAACGGAACGGGUAAAUGCAUUGUUGGAGUGUUAUCUUCAGCACUUUGUUAGUGCUAAUCAGCGUGAUUGGGCGAAGUUGAUGGACAUAGCCCAAUUUUCCUACAACUUGCAGAAAAGUGAAUCCACGGGACAUAGUCCAUUUGAGCUUGCAACAGGGCGACAACCUACAACGCCCCACACAUUAUCUAUGGUUGGUGAUUCUAACCGAAGUCCCGGAGCAAUCAAAAUGGCUAAGUCAUGGGAAGAUCAUGUGGACUUAGCAAGAUCUUGCUUGGAGAAAGCUCGGAAGUGAAUGAAGAAGUGGGCCGAUGUGAGACGAAGACCAUUGGAAUUUAACAUUAGAGAUCAAGUAUUUGUGAAAGUGUUGCCUCAACAAUUCAAAGCCUACCGCAAAGUUCACAAGGGCUUGGUUAGAAAAUAUGAAGGUCCAUUCCCCAUCCUAGCAAAGGUUGGAAGAGUUUCCUACCGGCUAGAUCUUCCAAGCACUUUAAAGAUCCACCCGAUUUUUCAUGUAAGCAUGUUGAAACCAUAUAGGCCGGACUUGGAGGAUCCAGGGAGAAACAAAUCAAAGAGAGCGCCUCCCAUCGUCACAAAAUAUUUUGAGAAAGAUGUUGAAUCCAUUCUAACGGAUCGAGUGGUGAGACGGAGAGGUGUUCCCCCUUGCACUCAAUACUUAAUCAAAUGGAAGGGAUUGCCCAAGCUACUUGGGAAAAUGAGGGAGAUCUAUGGCAAUUUGAGUCCGAGCUUCGAAACUAAAUGGCGACGAGGGCGUCGCCAAAUUCGGUGGGGGAGUGACUUAUGCCCCAUGCGGUCGCGUUCGAUCCGUCCCAGUAGCGGCCGCAAAAUGGCGUGGAUAGCACGCUGCAAUAGGACGGAACAUAUUGUUUUGGGAAGAAUGCAGGCUGCCUAAAAUUGUGCAGCUUUCCAGGGCAUUAAUGAGAUUGUUCUAAGUCUCGACCCAGCUAUUUUGGAGAAAAAAUACAUGAACCUGCAGCGGGAUAUUUUGGGAUGCAAGUAGGCAACUUGCACAACUUGUCCACUUGUGCCACUUGCAAGAUAUUAUCAAAGAUAAAAGCUAAGCGCGAGUUGGCGAAGAUAUUAUCAAAGGUGCAAGCUAAGCACGAGUUGGCAAGAAUAAUAUCUACUAUGCAAACUAAGAUC
rnacentral:lncRNA from 1 species